rnacentral:rRNA from 1 species
UACGGGAGGCAGCAGUGGGGAAUAUUGCACAAUGGGCGCAAGCCUGAUGCAGCCAUGCCGCGUGUAUGAAGAAGGCCUUCGGGUUGUAAAGUACUUUCAGUCGUGAGGAAGGUGUUAAGGUUAAUAACCUUAGCAAUUGACGUUAGCGACAGAAGAAGCACCGGCUAACUCCGUGCCAGCAGCCGCGGUAAUACGGAGGGUGCGAGCGUUAAUCGGAAUUACUGGGCGUAAAGGGCACGCAGGCGGUUAAUUAAGUUGGAUGUGAAAUCUCCGGGCUUAACCUGGGAAUGGCAUUCAAGACUGGUUAGCUAGAGUCUUGUAGAGGGGGUAGAAUUCCAUGUGUAGCGGUGAAAUGCGUAGAGAUGUGGAGGAAUACCGGGUGGCGAAGGCGGCCCCUGGGACAAAGACUGACGCUCAUGUGCGAAAGCGUGGGGAGCAAACAGGAUUAGAUACC